rnacentral:rRNA from 1 species
AGCAGCCGCGGUAAUUCCAGCUCCAAUAGCGUAUAUUAAAGUUGUUGCAGUUAAAAAGCUCGUAGUUGAAUUUCGGGAUCAAUAUGUUGGUCGUGCCUUGGUACGUACUGGCAUUAUCGAUUCCUACCUUCUGAAGAACCUCGAUGUCAUUAAUUUGGUGUCUUGGGGAAUCAGGACUGUUACUUUGAAAAAAUUAGAGUGUUUAAAGCAGGCUCGCGCUUGAAUACAUUAGCAUGGAAUAAUGAAAUAGGACGUUUGAUUCUAUUUUGUUGGUUUCUAGGAUCGACGUAAUGAUUAAUAGGGAUAGUUGGGGGCAUUAGUAUUCAAUUGUCAGAGGUGAAAUUCUUGGAUUUAUUGAAGACUAACUACUGCGAAAGCAUUUGCCAAGGAUGUUUUCAUUAAUCAAGAACGAAAGUUAGGGGAUCGAAGACGAUCAGAUACCGUCGUAGUCUUAACCAUAAACUAUGCCGACUAGGGAUCGGAUGAUGUUAAUUUUUAAUGU